rnacentral:misc_RNA from 1 species
GAAGUGCGAUAAGCAAUGCGAAUUGCAGAAUUCCGCGAAUCAUCAGAUCUUUGAACGCAAGUGGCGCCGAAGGGAUAUCCUUUCGGCAUGUCUGUUUCAGUGUCUGAGAGGUUUCAUACUAAUCUUAAUGUGAUUGAUGGGAUCACAUUUCAUCUCUCAUGAAAGAUGCGUGAGUGGAUCUUUCGGUCCAAUGAAGUGGUCACAUCACUCGAAUGUGAUUUCAUUGGGAAAUCACCGAAUUAUCCGGAUACUCACAGUACCAAUGUUCUUACCAUUCAUUUGGUAAGGAUCUCCUCCAUACCCUGCAUCUGAAAUAGGCAAGAUCACCCGCUGAACUUAA